rnacentral:rRNA from 1 species
GCAAGUCGAACGGACUUAUGAUAGCUUGCUAUUAUAAGUUAGUGGCGCACGGGUGAGUAACGCGUGGGUAACCUGCCCUUGAAUCUGGGACAACAGUUCGAAAGGACUGCUAAUACCGGAUACCUUCCUUUAGUAGAGAUAUUAAGGGAAGAAAGACGGUCGAAUUAUGGCUGUCGUUCAUGGAGGGGCCCGCGUUCCAUUAGCUAGUUGGUGGAAUAAUGGCCUACCAAGGCGAUGAUGGAUAACCGGCUUGAGAGAGUGGUC